GGUGGGGCCGUUGUUGCACCGCGCCCCGGCCCGUACAGGGUUGCGGGUCAGAGUCCUCUCUCAGGUGAGCUCCAGGCGAGUCCGCCUGUCUUCAGCCGUCCGCCUGUCUUCAGCAGCGGUUGACUUGCCGGCGGUCAGGAAGAAAUGGAGACCGAAGAGGCGGAGCCAGAUCAGACCACGUCCAGCCACCGAGGGGCGGAGCCAGAUCAGACCGCCUCCAGCCACCGAGGGGCGGAGCCAGAUCAGACCGCCUCCAGCCAGCGGGCGGAGGCCGAUGAGGCUGGACUCCAUCCAGAAUCGUCGGCUGAUGGAAACACCCGAACAUCCAGCAGUCUGACCACCACCAGGACCACCAGCGGGACCAGCGGGGCCUCCAUCAGUGCUGAUCCUCCUUCAUCUUCUUCAUGUCAUCAAACAGGCGAGGAGGAGGAGGAGCAGGACCAGGACCAGGACCAGGACCAGGAGGACCAGGAGGACC